rnacentral:rRNA from 1 species
GUAGGGUGCAAGCGUUACUCGGAAUUACUGGGCGUAAAGCGUGCGUAAGCGGUUUGUUAAGUCUGUCGUGAAAGCCCCGGGCUCAACCUGGGAAUGGCGAUGGAAACUGGCGAGCUAGAGUACGGUAGGGGAGAGUGGAAUUCCCGGUGUAGCAGUGGAAUGCGUAGAGAUCGGGAGGAACAUCAGUUGCGAAGGCGGCUCUCUGGACCAGUACUGACGCUGAGGCACGAAAGCGUGGGGAGCAAACAGGAUUAGAUACCCUGGUAGUCCACACCGUAAACGUCGGGCGCUAGGUGUGGGGUCCAUUCCACGGAUUCCGUGCCGGAGCUAACGCGUUAAGCGCCCCGCCUGGGGAGUACGGCCGCAAGGCUA